UACGGAGGGUGCAAGCGUUAAUCGGAUUUACUGGGCGUAAAGAGCACGUAGGCUGAGUGGAAAGUUAGAUGUGAAAUCCCGGGGCUCAACUCCGGACCCGCAUCUAAAACUACCACUCUCGAGGAUAGACGGAGAAAAGGGAAUUCCACGUGUAGCGGUGAAAUGCGUAGAUAUGUGGAAGAACACCGGUGGCGAAGGCGCUUUUCUAGUUUAUUCCUGACGCUGAGGUGCGAAAGCAAGGGGAGCAAACAGG
rnacentral:rRNA from 1 species